UCUCCUACGGGGGGCAGCAGUGAGGAAUAUUGGUCAAUGGGCGCGAGCCUGAACCAGCCAAGUCGCGUGAGGGAUGACGGUCCUCCGGAUUGUAAACCUCUUUUGCCGGGGAGCAAGCGUGCGUUCGUGAACGCGCGUCGAGAGUACCCGGAGAAAAAGCAUCGGCUAACUCCGUGCCAGCAGCCGCGGUAAUACGGAGGAUGCGAGCGUUAUCCGGAUUUAUUGGGUUUAAAGGGUGCGUAGGCGGUCCGUUAAGUCAGCGGUAAAAUUGCGGGGCUCAACCCCGUCGAGCCGUUGAAACUGGC
rnacentral:rRNA from 1 species